rnacentral:piRNA from 1 species
UGUUUGAUGUUUUUGUGAACG